rnacentral:lncRNA from 1 species
CUCCACCACCACCAUACUACUACCACUCUCCUCCUCCUCCAGUCAAAUCACCACCGCCACCGUACUACUACCACUCCCCGCCUCCUCCGGUGAAAUCCCCACCACCACCAUAUUACUACCACUCACCACCUCCACCGGUGAAAUCUCCACCACCACCAUACUAUUACCACUCACCACCUCCUCCGGUGAAGUCUCCUCCACCACCAUACUACUAUCACUCUCCACCACCACCGGUGAAAUCUCCUCCUCCUUACUAUUAUCAUUCUCCACCUCCUCCGGUGAAAUCUCCUCCACCACCGUACUACUACCAUUCUCCACCUCCUCCAGUCAAGUCUCCACCACCACCGUACUACUAUCAUUCACCACCUCCUCCGGUGAAAUCUCCACCACCACCAUACUAUUACCACUCACCACCCCCACCUGUGAAAUCUCCUCCUCCACCAUACUACUAUCACUCACCUCCUCCUCCGGUGAAAUCUCCACCACCACCAUACUAUUACCAUUCACCACCCCCUCCAGUCAAAUCUCCUCCUCCACCAUACUACUACCACUCACCACCUCCUCCAGUGAAAUCUCCACCACCACCAUACUAUUACAACUCUCCACCACCACCGGUGAAAUCUCCUCCACCUCCAGUCUACAUCUACGCUUCUCCCCCACCUCCCACCCAUUACUAGGCUCAUCAAAUUCAACCAAAUUUCCCCAUUAUUCAAGUAAGUCCCCACGGUCCAAAACGUUCAAGUUACUCUUUAUCACCCACUUCAAUAUUACUUUGUCCUAAAAUCUCAGUUUCUUUCUUCACAGGU